rnacentral:rRNA from 1 species
CCUGCCUUACACAGGGGGAUAACAACCGGAAACGGUUGCUAAAACCGCAUAACAUUCAAGAAUCGCAUGGUUUUUGAAUCAAAUAUUAAUAGGUGUAAGAUGGGCCCGCGUCUGAUUAGCUAGUUGGUGGGGUAAUAGCCUACCAAGGCGAUGAUCAGUAGCCGGCUUGAGAGAGUGACCGGCCACAUUGGGACUGAGACACGGCCCAAACUCCUACGGGAGGCAGCAGUGGGGAAUAUUGCACAAUGGGCGAAAGCCUGAUGCAGCGACGCCGCGUGAGUGAAGAAGUACUUCGGUAUGUAAAGCUCUAUCAGCAGGGACGAUAAUGACGGUACCUGACUAAGAAGCCCCGGCUAACUACGUGCCAGCAGCCGCGGUAAUACGUAGGGGGCAAGCGUUAUCCGGAUUUACUGGGUGUAAAGGGAGCGUAGGUGGUGGUGCAAGUCAGAUGUGAAAGCCCGUUGCUUAACAGCGGGAUUGCAUCAGAAACUGCAUUACUAAAGUACAGGAGAGGUAAGUGGAAUUCCUAGUGUAACGGUGAAAUGCGUAAAUAUUAGGAGGAACAUCAGUGGCGAAGGCGGCUUACUGGACUGUAACUGACACUAAGGCUCGAAAGCGUGGGGAGCAAACAGGAUUAAAUACCCUGGUAAUCCACGCCGUAAACUAUGAAUACUA